AGCCCUAGUCUAAUUCUUAGCUGAAUAGCUUGAACCUCCCGACGCCCAGCGAACACCGCAGCCGUCGUGGUCAAGAGGAGACUUCCGAGUCGACCGACCUCCUUCUCCCUGUAGAUCGAGGGUCGCCAGCGACGGACGAUCGAGCUCGGCCGCGGGAUGGGCGGAGGAAGGAGGAGGAUAAUGGAGUGGGCGGGGCGGGCGGAGCACCUGGGCGGGAUCCCGCGGGCGCUGACAAUCUUCGCCGUGGGAGCCUUCGCAAAGACCGUCACUUGCUUCCUCAACUCCACCUCCGUACACAACCCUCAAACACUCAUCCGCCUCGUCAAAUCCCGCCCUACCGGCGUGCCCCUCCUCACCGUCAGCAACCACAUGUCAACAUUGGAUGACCCACUUAUAUGGGGUUUUAAGGGUUUCCCAACUAUGGAUGCAAAACUUGCAAGGUGGGUUCUGGCAGCAGAGGACAUAUGCUUCAAAAAUAAACUUCUCUCCUACAUGUUUCGCAUUGGAAAAUGCAUACCAAUAAACAGGGGUGGAGGAAUUUAUCAAGAACAUAUGAAUGAAGCUCUUGAAGUGUUAAGUCAUGGAGGUUGGUUGCAUACAUAUCCUGAAGGAAAAGUGUCCCAACUUAGUGCUCCUAUUAAGCGUUUGAAAUGGGGAACUGCCAGUCUCAUUGUUCGUGCACCAAUCACCCCUAUUGUUUUACCUAUUGUCCACUCUGGUUUUGAGAAGGUCAUGCCCGAGAAAUCAUUCUUUGGAAGGCGGCCCCCGGUACCUCUAUGUAACAAAAACAUCAGGAUUGUAGUCGGUGAACCAAUCGAGUUUGACCUAGGAAGGCUAAAGCAGGAAGCUAGGAAAGUUACUCAAGAUGCACCUUUCCAUAGUUUAGGAUGGCCAAAAACUUCUGCAGAUGGCCUGGGAGAGGCUUCACAGCGAUGGUUAUACAAUAACAUAUCCGAUAGGAUUCAAAGAGUGAUGGAGAAGUUACGGACCAUUAAACUCCCGGCUUUAGAAAACUCGAGAUAAUAAAAUUUUCACUAUAGUUCCAGAUUUAGGAUCUCUCAUAUUGAUCCUUAUUCUUUUAAAUGCUAUAUGUAUAAACAUUCAUAUUUCCUCAUUUUUGUCUAAUUUUCUUAGACAUUCAAUCAAUAUCCUGGAGUUUCUAUUUUACAAUUCUUUGCAAUUGCUUUAAUGAACCUAUAUUGUUGACUAAAUCAUUCAUAACAAAAUGACAAGCGUCUGAGACAUCUUCUCUGCCUUCUGGGAACAUUAGCACAUGCCCUGCAAGCAUCAUCAAUUCAUCCAUUCAGAAUGAGUAUGACAAAGGGAGGAGCCCACCAGCCACUCAGGUUUAAAAGGAGGUACCUGGCUGUUGUUUCUUUCUC